rnacentral:rRNA from 1 species
AGGACGAACGCUGGCGGCGUGCCUAAUACAUGCAAGUCGAACGGUCUUUCUAUGGAAGCUUGCUUCCACUGAGAAGAUAGUGGCGAACGGGUGAGUAACACGUGGGUAACCUGCCCAUAAGAGGGGGGAUAACAUCCGGAAACGGGUGCUAAUACCGCAUAGUUUUCCUGAUCGCAUGAUCGGGAAAGGAAAGACGGCCUUUGUGCUGUCGCUUAUGGAUGGACCCGCGGCGUAUUAGUUAGUUGGUGAGGUAACGGCUCACCAAGACGAUGAUACGUAGCCGACCUGAGAGGGUGAUCGGCCACAUUGGGACUGAGACACGGCCCAAACUCCUACGGGAGGCAGCAGUAGGGAAUCUUCCGCAAUGGACGAAAGUCUGACGGAGCAACGCCGCGUGAGUGAAGAAAAGGGUUUUCGGAUCGUAAAACUCUGUUGUCAGAGAAGAACAAGUUGGAGAGUAACUGCUCCAGCCUUGACGGUAUCUGACCAGAAAGCCACGGCUAACUACGUGCCAGCCGCCGC